rnacentral:tRNA from 1 species
GCGCCGUUAGCUCAGUUGGUAGAGCAGAGGCCUCUUAAGCCUAAGGUCCUGGGUUCAAACCCCAGACGGCGCA